GAUUAUUUAGUUUAAAAAAAACGAAUGUCUUGAAAACAUUUAAUAAGAAUAGAUUCUUAAUAAUUG
rnacentral:tRNA from 2 species